rnacentral:rRNA from 1 species
AGUGAACGCUGGCGGUAGGCCUAACACAUGCAAGUCGAACGGCAGCACAGUAAGAGCUUGCUCUUACGGGUGGCGAGUGGCGGACGGGUGAGGAAUACAUCGGAAUCUACUUUUUCGUGGGGGAUAACGUAGGGAAACUUACGCUAAUACCGCAUACGACCUACGGGUGAAAGCAGGGGAUCUUCGGACCUUGCGCGAUUGAAUGAGCCGAUGUCGGAUUAGCUAGUUGGCGGGGUAAAGGCCCACCAAGGCGACGAUCCGUAGCUGGUCUGAGAGGAUGAUGAGCACCACGGGAACUGAGACACGGUCCAGACUCCUAGGGGGGGCGGCGGUGGGGAAUAUUGGACAAUGGGCGCAAGCCUGAUCAAGCCAUACCGCGUGGGUGAAGAAGGCCUUCGGGUUGUAAAGCCCUUUUGUUGGGAAAGAAAAGAAGCGGGUUAAUCCCCCGCUGUCCUGACGGUACCCAAAAAAAAAGCACCGGCUAACUUCGUG